rnacentral:rRNA from 1 species
UACGUAGGUGGCAAGCGUUGUCCGGAAUUAUUGGGCGUAAAGCGCGCGCAGGCGGUCCUUUAAGUCUGAUGUGAAAGCCCACGGCUCAACCGUGGAGGGUCAUUGGAAACUGGGGGACUUGAGUGCAGAAGAGGAAAGCGGAAUUCCACGUGUAGCGGUGAAAUGCGUAGAGAUGUGGAGGAACACCAGUGGCGAAGGCGGCUUUCUGGUCUGUAACUGACGCUGAGGCGCGAAAGCGUGGGGAGCGAUCCGG